ACAAGUCGGGAGUCGGCGACCGCUUAGUGACGAGCGAUGAUUUUAAAGAGCAGAAUAAAAGGUUUUCCCGUGCCUGCCCCACAGCCCCUCCAGCUCGAAUAAUGGAGAACUGUCAAUGCACUCCGCGAGCGGUGGCCCAUUGUACGCAGCUGAUGGCGAGGAGGCGACUGGGGGUAGCAGGGGCUCCUUGCCCUCGUCCCUAUGCCCAAAUAAACGCGCAAACGCGCUCCCGUCUUCUGGUCAGUUAAAAGGUGAAACGAACACGAUUAAAAUAGACCAAAAGAAAAGAAAGAAAAGAAAACCUUUCUAUGUACAGAUUCUAAAUCGUACUCCCCAUACAGUCAGAGGCAGGGAGUCGAGGGCAGAGGCAGCAGGCGGAGAGAGGGAGAUAGGGCGAGGGAAGGAGAACGCGGAGAGAGACGAAGGGAGUGGGAGACCAGCGACAGCGAGCGCCAGGGCACCGCAGGCACACUGGAUGCCCAGUCCGCCGGCCCAGCCGCCCUCGGACCCUGGACCGUGCGUCGUGGGCACCAGAAACGAGACUCGGCCAAAUCCUGCCUCACCAGCAGGUAGAUGAAACUCAAGAGAAAAGGUGUGGAUAAAUGAAACUAGCCCAUGAUGAACCUGUUUUCUCCGUGACCACAAUAUUAACCAGGAUGAAUGGCGGUGGCAGUGGGCCUGCAUCACAGGUUGCAGCAGAUGUUCUCAAUAUUUCUAUUAAAAUUUCCUUAUUUCCAUAUGCAAGAGGAGCCCCAGAGCUGCAUCCUUAUGGUAGCUACCAUGCCGUGAUGUAAGCUGCCAUUCACUGGGGAGCUUUGGCAAUAGAAUUGGCUAGAUCAGGAAGCCUAUGUCAACUAUGGAACAACAACUUGCAGCUCAUCUCUAUUGAUGAUGGAAUCUCGCUAUGUCACCAGGCUGGAGUGCAGUGGCGCAACCUCGGCUCAGCGCAACAUCCGCCUCCCGGGUUCAAGUGAUUCUCCUACCUCAGCCUCCUGAGUAGCUGGGAUUACAGGAAUCUAAUGACCAUUGAACUGUGGCCAUGACUUCAAUUACAAGUAUUUUCUUCACUAAUGUCAGACUGUGGGCCUUUGUAUAUACACUUUUAACAAACUUUUUGGAAGUGCAAUACAUAUCGCAACAACUUCUCAAUGCUGAAUCAUAGUAUUGGAAGACAUUUUAAGCAACAAUUAAACUCAACUUAUUUACUACCAAUAAUGUACAUAAGUCAGCUGAAGUGAGGAUAACAUGAAUAGCACAAAUACAUUAUGAUUGCUGCCUGGCCAACAGUAAUUAUAAGAAACUGUCAGUUUUGAGAUGUGUCUUGAUUUCAGAGAUGUUAAAAAAGUUUGUAAGUUACCAUUGAUAAAAUAUGAGUUUGCUUCCACAAAUAUUCUUUCUUCUGUCCUUCUGGAACUCAAGAGUAAACAUAUAUUAGAUUUUCUCACCAUUUCAUGCAUGCUGGUUCCUAGGCUACUCUCUGAGUCAUUUUUUUUUU
rnacentral:lncRNA from 1 species